rnacentral:rRNA from 1 species
GACGAACGCUGGCGGCGUGCUUAACACAUGCAAGUCGAACGGAAAGGCCCCUUUGGGGGUACUCGAGUGGCGAACGGGUGAGUAACACGUGAGUAACCUGCCCUUGACUUCGGGAUAACUUCAGGAAACUGGGGCUAAUACCGGAUAGGAAUCCUUGCUGCAUGGUGGGGGUUGGAAAGCUUCGGCGGUUUUGGAUGGACUCACGGCUUAUCAGCUUGUUGGUGGGGUAGUGGCUUACCAAGGCUUUGACGGGUAGCCGGCCUGAGAGGGCGACCGGCCACAUUGGGACUGAGAUACGGCCCAGACUCCUACGGGAGGCAGCAGUGGGGAAUAUUGCACAAUGGGCGGAAGCCUGAUGCAGCAACGCCGCGUGCGGGAUGACGGCCUUCGGGUUGUAAACCGCGUUCAGCAGGGGCGAAGCUUGUGGUGACGGUACCUGCAGAAGAAGCACCGGCUAACUACGUG